ACGGAGGUUGCGAGCGUUGUUCGGAAUUACUGGGCGUAAAGGGAGCGCAGGCGGUCCGGUCAGUCUAAAGUGAAAUCCCGGGGCUUAACCUUGGAAGUGCUUUGGAUACUGCCGGACUUGAGUACGUGAGAGGAGAGCGGAAUUCCAGGUGUGGCGCUCACAUGCGCAAAGAUGUGGAGGAGCACCGAUAGCGUGCGCGGCAAUCUGGAACGAAACUGAUACUGAGCCUUGUAACUGGCUGGACCACAAGU
rnacentral:rRNA from 1 species